ACUUCGGUAGUGUAGUGGUAGCACGCGUCACCGGAAUGGAUGAGACGCGUUUUCAACUCCCGUCUGAGGCG